UUCUAUCUCAAUUCCCCCCUAAUUCCCUCCUUUUGUUUCUCACGAUGUCCCCAAUCCCUAACCUAACACUCCCUAUCACUCUCCUCUCUCUUUAUCUCUUCCGCCUACGUCGUCGCCUCUAGUGCCGCCACCGGCGACCACUACUGCCGCCGCCACACCUUCUCUCUCAUUGCCAUCUCUCUCGUCGCCUCAGUGAUCUCGAUUCAUCUUAGUGAGGGAGCGAGAGAUUCAUUUCAGAGCAAUUUCGCUUUUGAUUUCGAAGUUCUCUCUCAAUUUCGAAGUUUUGUCUCUCUUGAUUUCGAAGCUCCACCGCCACCACCGUCUGCACCGGCGAGAGUGAGCACCAUCGUCUACUACGAUAAGGAUCGAAAAUUGGGAUUAGAACGCCUUAGAUAGAAGGCAGUUGAAGAGAGGCCUGUGUGAUGGAGGCCUGAUAGAUUAGAAGGUGAGAGUGCCCGCACUUCUAUUCUCAACUCUGUUUGCCCUAUUGCUUUUGUUUAAUUUUCAGGUAUGUAUCUUAACUCUGUUUGCCCUACUGCUUUUGUUUAACUUUGGAGGAAUGAUUGAAAUUCAUUUUGGUGAGAAUAGGCUGGCUGUUUUGUGUGUUAAUGCUAUGAUUGGGUUAACAAAUUGUUGUUGCUAUCUUGCCAUAUUUUUAAUGCAUUUUGCAAAAAAAGGAUUUGAAGCUGAAAUUGAAUUCUAUUUUGUCAUUUUUCACUUAUUUUACCAGUCGAAUUCAAGUUGAAGAACCUAUAAGAGCUAUGAAUUCAAUUUGUGAUGAAAUCUGUUUCCAUGAUCUUUUUAAUUUUCUCUUGUUAAGGGUUUGCUUAGUUGUCUCCACAUGUUAUUUCUACAUUCACAGAGUUCCAGUAGGUUGUGAGCAGCAUAGUUCAAUUGUUAGUCACUUAAUCUGAAAGGGGCAUAGUGUAAUCCUUUUUGUCAUAUAUCAAUUUCUGAAUUGCAGCCCUUGGAAUAGAUUUUGGCAGGCAUACUUUUUGUAGAUUGGUAUAUUAUAUAAGAAAUUGUUUCCUUUCUAUUUUUCCUUGCCAUUUCAGACUUUAUCUGACGUCUUAUAAGCUAAUACCAGCUUAAAACAAAUUUGCUUUAAUAAAGACAGAUUUCUUAAACUAGCUCCUUGUCUUAAUGUUGCUUCUGCACCAUCAAAAGGUAUAUCUAUAUCUCCUUUUCUCCUUUAUAUUAUCCGACAAGCACAUAUAUAUAAGCACACAUCAUGUUAAUCAUUGGAUUAUUUGGGUGAUCACCUGAAUAGAGUAGCUUAGGGGAGCAUUUCCAAGGCAAGUGGUUCAAUAACAUUAUUAUAUUGAAAUAUUGAGUAUGACUCUUUUAAGAGUGUUGUUUUGAUUCUUAUGAUUGUUGAGUUUAUUAUUUGCUUGUAGUGUCAGAUUCUUGAUGUUGUCGUUAAACUAAAUUUGGAUCAUUCUUGAAACAAGCUUCUUAAUCCUCGCGCAUUUGCUGGAUGGUUUGGGCGGUCUUAGUUUGAGCUAAGUGCUAUUUCAUCAAUCUAUUUCUAUUGCUGUGUGAAUUUCCCUUUUGAAGUUAAAAACAUGUUAAACUGAUUGAAACUCAUCAAAAUCAAUCAUUUUUUGUAAUACGCAUGUUAUAUCUUAAGUUCUAAUAAAUCUCAAGCUUCCAUAAUAGGGUUGGAUUCCUGGAAUAGGUGAUGUUAUAUCGAAAUCUUAGUUGCUCGAAGUGGGAAUGGGGUACAUAAAAGAGUCUAAGGUUGAGAGUACCUAUGGGAGUGUUUACAUAAAUUCAUAUAAAAUAUUAUGUUGUAAGUCUAUUUUUUUUUGUGCAUAAUUGUAAUAUAUAUAUAUAUAUAUUAAAUAUGAAUAAAUAACAGAGUUUGGUGUCAAGUGCACAUUCUUUUUAUUUAAAUAUCAACAACUAUUUUGUUAAUAUGAAUUACAAGAAUAAGUUUGAGCUAAUUUUUUCUCUAUAAUCUGAUGGUUGUUGUAGAUUUUCUUUUAAUUGGUAUCUUUUGUUUAAAUAUAUUAGACUCGAAUAGGGUUUCCGGUUUGGGAGUUAGAGCCGGAUUUCAUUCUAGACAAAUUAGUUUCUUAAGAAACUUAGAAUUCGAGGUGUUAACGCCCCAAAAUCACCAAACGGCGUCGGAGUGGCACAAAACUUGGCAGACACGACUGCCUAGGAACGAGAGACUUGUGAGAGAAGACGGGACUCAAAUCGGGUUCCCGAUUUGGGAGUUAGAACUAGAUUUCACUCUUAAGAAACAAACUUGUUUUUUAAAAAACUUAGACUUUGAGGUGUUAAUGCCCCAAAAUCACCAAACGGUGUCGAAGUAGCAUGAAACUUGGCACAUGCGACCGCCUAGGUGUGGGAGAAGAUAGGUUUUGAAUCGGGUUCCCAACUUAAGAGUUAGAGCCGGAUUUCACUCUAGGCAAAUUAGUUCCUUAAAAAACUUAGAAUUCGAGGUGUUGACGCCUCAAAAUCACCAAACGGCAUCGGAUUAGCACGAAACUUGGCACAUACGACUGCCAAGGCACGAGAGACUUAUGGGAGAAGACGAGACUCGAAUCGGGUUCCCGGUUUGGGAGUUAAGGCCGGAUUUCACUCUGGACAAACUAAUUUCUUAAGAAACUUAGAAUUCGAGGUGUUAACGCUUCAAAAUCACCAAACGGCGUCGGAGUAGCACGAAAGGCACA